GAGUACGUAAGCAAAGGGCGCCUGGGGAAUGCCUAGGCUUCUGGCGGCGAUGAAGGACGCGGCAAGCAGCGAAAUGCAACGGGGACCUGCUGGCAGGGAUUGAUCCGUUGGUGUCCGAAUGGGGCAACCCACUCCAAUGAUGUUGGAGUAUCCCGAAAGGGAGGCAGACGCGGGGAACUGAAACAUCUAAGUACCCGCAGGAAAAGAAAACAAGUAGUGAUUCCCUUAGUAGUGGCGAGCGAGGAGGGAACAGCCUAAACCAUCUGAGUUACGGCUCAGGCGGGGUUGUAGGACCUGACAAAAGCUAGUGAAGCGAACUGGAACGAUCUGGGAAGGUCGGCCGUAGCGGGUGAAAGCCCCGUACAGGCAGUUGAGCUAGUGGGUUGGGUAUCCUGAGUAGGCGGGGGCCGGAGGAACCCCCGUUGAAGCUACCGGCACCAUCCGGUAAGGCUAAAUACGACCAGAAGACCGAUAGUGGAUAGUACCGUGAGGGAACGGUGAAAAGUACCGGGAGUACCGGGGUGAAAUAGAACCUGAAACCAGGCGCUUACAAGCGGUCGGAGCUUCUUUAUGGAGUGACGGCGUGCCUUUUGCAUAAUGAGCCUACGAGUGACUCUUCCUGGCCAGAUUAAGCACAUUGAUGUGCGGAGUCGAAGCGAAAGCAAGUCUGAAUAGGGCGCUAAGUCAGGGGGAGUCGACGCGAAACUUGGUGAUCUACCCAUGGCCAGGUUGAAGGUGGGGUAACACUCACUGGAGGACCGAACCAGUAAACGUUGAAAAGUUUUUGGAUGAGUUGUGGGUAGGGGUGAAAGGCCAAUCAAACUGAGAAAUAGCUCGUACUCUCCGAAAUGUUUUUAGGAACAGCGUUCCGGUUUGUCCCCUUUGAGGUAGAGCGACCAACAGGAUGCGGGGGUGUCACAACCUACCAACUUCUGAUGAACUCCGAAUGCAAGGGGGAUUAAGGAGCAGUGAGGGGCAGGGUGCUAAGGUCCUGCUCCGAGAGGGGAACAACCCAGACCAUCCGCUAAGGUCCCCAAGUGUGUGCUAAGUUGAACAAAGGUGGUUCGGCUGCCGAGACAGCCAGGAGGUUAGCUUGGAAGCAGCUAUUCCUUUAAAGAGUGCGUAACAGCUCACUGGUCGAGCGGGGCGAGCAUCGAUAAUAAACGGGCAUCAAGCACAUCACCGAAGCGGUGGAUCGAUAGCUUAGGCUAUCUGAUGGUAGGAGAGCAUUCUGUGGGCGGAGAAGCCGAAGCGUGAGCUUUGGUGGAGCGCAUAGAAAAGCAAAUGUAGGCAUAAGUAACGAUAAGACAGGUGAGAACCCUGUCCACCGAAAGACUAAGGGUUCCCCGGCGAUGGCAGUCAUCCGGGGGUUAGUCGGGACCUAAGGCUAAGGCGAAGGCCGAUGCUGAUGGCAAGCAGGUUAAUAGUCCUGCACUGGCGUCUAUUUGUUCAUUGAUGACGGAGCUUCGUGGUCGCUGCGAGCGGCAGGAAGUGCUCGCCUGAGCUGAGCCCUUCGGGGCAAGGCGAAGCGGUGAAGAAGCUUCCAAGAAAAGUCAAUGAGCGUUAGGUAGAUGGCACCCGUACCGUAAACCGACACAGGUAGUCGAGGCGAAGAGCCUAAGGUGCACGAGAGAAUCAUGGCUAAGGAACUCGGCAAAAUUACCCUGUAACUUAGGGAGAAGGGGGGCCUACCCGUAAGGGAGGCUGCAGAGAAAAGGCCCAGGCGACUGUUUACCAAAAACACAGGACUCUGCUAAAUCGAGAGAUGAUGUAUAGGGUCUGACACCUGCCCGGUGCUGGAAGGUUAAGGGGGGGCGUUAGCCGCAAGGCGAAGCGCUGAACUGAAGCCCCAGUAAACGGCGGCCGUAACUAUAACGGUCCUAAGGUAGCGAAAUUCCUUGUCGGGUAAGUUCCGACCUGCACGAAUGGUGUAACGAUCUGGGCACUGU
rnacentral:rRNA from 1 species